UCACCCACCCCUGCCUUUUUAAUUUAAAACCAGUUUUCUAUCAUUUCCCACCUUGCCCUGAAGUUCAUGAUCUAUUUGAGCUGAUUUCUGCAGGGGACUCUGGGUUGCAGUUGCCACUGUUGUCGCUAUUCUUUGCUUAUUGAUAUCCAGUUGUUCCAGCAGCUGUCAUCCGCAAGUCUGUCCUUCCUCUACCGUUUUUGCAAUUGUUUAAAAGUUCAGUUGGGGAUGGGGGUGGAGAUGACGCAGUGAUUCAAGCUACAGACUUUCAUGCCUGAGGUUCUAGUUCCUGUCAACAAGACCACCAGAAGCCAGAGCUGAGCAGUGUGCUGCUAAAGAAUAAAGUAACCAGACAAAAAUCUAGUCAGCCACAUCUGUGCGGGUCUAUUUGGGGUCUUUAUACCCUUUCUUUGAUCACUGUUUUGUUUUUUAGUUCCUUAGUGCACUCUCUUGGAUUCAAGAGCAACAGAAAAAUCUUGCACUACUGGAAGAACCUCGUGAACUCUGUAGAUUUUGUAUGUUUUUCUAAGUUUAUAGCAGUGCAUCUCAUUCUUUCAGGAAAAUUGCAAAUCUGGUGAUUUCAAGUUUGGUUUCUGCAAGUCUGGGGUGAGAAUAUAGUAAUGUUAUUGUUUUCUUUGUGGCUUGUGAAGUCACUUAUUACUUUUCCGUUUCUGUUUUUAAUAUCCCUUGGGGAUCUCUCCACACACAGGCAUGCCAUUCACAAAUAAAUCCACUUCCAUUUCCUUUUUUUACUCUGCAUGGGCUGUCUCUGCUUUCCCUAAGUGGCUGCUGAGGCCAGAAUUUGAAUGCUAUGUUGAGAAAGUGCAGUCUGGGCCCUCAUCCCUGUCAGGGGGAGUAAUCCCUUCUUUGUCUGCUAAUUACUUUGCUUGUGAGGUUUUCAAAACUGUUCUUUGUCUUGUUGAGGACGAUUCUUUCUGUCUUCGGUACUGAGAGUCCUCAUCAUGAGAGCAGAUUCACGACAGACUUUCUGUGAGCGCUUGUCAAAUGCUUUCUCGGGCUUGGCUGUUAGAACUUCACCGUCUUUAUGGAAGGGCUCUGGGAAAUUGCAUUGACUGAGUGAGGAAUGCUGGGCAGAUCUUGCUUUCCCAGAGUGAGUGUCACACGGCCAUUGUGCAGGAUUCCUCUCAGAUAUCGUGAAAUCUCACCACCUAGUCCUGUAUUCGAAUCCGUAUUGUCUGGGGGCUGGCAGGGGUGCACCUGCUUAAGCGCACAGAAGGCCGACUGAGGGCAAGGAUCUGGGUUCGAGCCCCUGGCUCCCCACCUGCAGGGAGGAUGCUUCACAAACAGCAAAGCAGAAGAAGGUUUUCUGAUUGUCAAGGAGGAGAAGCGAGCGGCCUCUUGUUUUUCUUUUGUAGCAAUAACUCUCACUGACUCACCCGGACAGCUGAUCCCCUGGCUGAUGAAUCCGCAGAGCGGUCCCCGGCCUCGGAGCACAGCAUCCAUUCUGGGGAGCGUGGGACAGACCCGCGUCAGUGACUGGACGAUCCAUCACAGGUCACCUGAGACAAAGGGAGAGGCGUUAAGGAGGAAAUUCUGAGAGUGUUUUCCCAUUUUGUUCUGUAUGCCAGGUUUUUGUUGUUGUUGUUGUUGCGUUAGUAAUUGAAUGGAUGAAUUAAUGAAGUGAUUUAUUCACCUUAGAAUUAUCCUUUAAGUCAGUUUCAAAUAAGAAAAUAGAAUUGCUUUUUUUGUGAGGAGUGCAAAGUUCCAUUAGAGGCCAACAGACCGUUCUCCAUUAUUUUUAUUCAUUCAUUUAUACCGACAGCUGACAGCAUAUCUGGGGCUCCUGGCAUGGCAGAAACUACGGCGAGCUGAUGAUAGCCAGGGUCAGCGCUAAUCUGGGGUUUAUGGUGCAGAGCUGGGUGGUGGCAGCUGGCAUGUACUAGUGACCAGGUUUCUGUCUUAUGUUACUUCCAGACCUCCCCUCCAUGCCCCACUUUUGCCUCCAGGGUUAUCACUGGGGAUCGGUGCCGGCCCUGUGAAUCCACUGCUCCUGGAGGCCAUUUUUUCCAUUUUAUUGGACAGAACAGAGAGAAAUUGAGAGAGGAGAAGGAGAGAGAGAAAGAGAGACAUCUGCAGACCUGCUUCACCACCUGUGAAGCUUCCCCCCUGCAGGUGGGGAGAGGGGGCUCGAACCCAGAUCCGUGUGCAGGUCCUUGUGCUUGGUACUGUGCGCUUAACCUGGUGUGCCACUGCCUGGCUCCUCAGAUUCCUAUUCUUGUGAGCUGGGGGAACAGCAUGAUGGUUCUGCAAAAAAGCUCUCCUGCCUGAUGUCCUAAAAUCCCAGGUUCAGUCCCCAGCACCCUCAUAAGCCAGAGCUGAGCAGUGUUCUGGUCUCUCUCUGUAUCUUUCUCUUUAUGAAAAGAAAACUAAUAAAAUGUAUUGUUUUU